AAUCAACGCUGGCGGCGUGCCUCAGACAUGCAAGUCGAACGAUUAAAGCUCUCUUCGGAGAGUGUAUAGAGUGGCGCACGGGUGAGUAACACGUAAGUAAUCUACCCUCGAGUGGGGAAUAACAACCGGAAACGGUUGCUAAUACCGCAUAAUGCAGCGGCACCGCAAGGUGACAGUUGUUAAAGAUUUAUCGCUUGAGGAGGAGCUUGCGGCAGAUUAGCUAGUUGGUAGGGUAACGGCUUACCAAGGUUACGAUCUGUAACCGGUCUAAGAGGACGGUCGGUCACACUGACACUGAAUAACGGGUCAGACUCCUACGGGAGGCAGCAGUCGGGAAUUUUGGGCAAUGGGCGAAAGCCUGACCCAGCAACGCCGCGUGAAGGAUGAAGUAUUUCGGUAUGUAAACUUCGAAAGAAUAGGAAGAAUUAAUGACGGUACUAUUUAUAAGGUCCGGCUAACUACGUG
rnacentral:rRNA from 1 species